UGGGUGGUUGGACUGGAUGAUCUUGAAGGUCUUUUCCAAUCUUGGCGAUUCUGUGAUUCUGUAAAGAAUGACUAAAGGUGUCUGGCCAGAGGAGUGCAGGUCCUAAUUCCUGGUCUAUUGUGGUUCUUAUGGUGCCCUACAUUUGAGUGCCUACAGGUCAAGGGGUCCUGCAAGACUCUUCUUCAUCAAGGAUCAAAUAAGAGCUACCCUGGGAGUUGGUGACAAAACCUGCCAAUUCAGGGGAGUUAGUGUUGGAUGGAAUCCCUGGGUGAGCAAUGUGGACUGGGGUGAACCUUGGGAUCUUCUCAGGUAGUGAGGAGCACAGGAUAAGAGUUGAAAUAGUCUGAAUAAUUUAUGAAGUGAAUGAUUUUCAAUUGCCUAUAUUGCUCUUUCUGAUACUGACAUUGGAAAGGCAGAAUGUUGGGACUAUAGAGAUGCUAGCUAGAGUAAGUGGCUUGUUCUCAUCCCAUAUUAAUACAAUAUUUGGCAUCCGAAGGAUGACAUUUUGCACUUAGAUUCCUGUGUAGACUAAAUCACUUUACAUGACACUGUUGUUUUCAUAUUUCUACUUAAUUUAUUUAUUGGAGUCAAUUGUUUAUAUCAGACUACUUGUGUACUGUCCAAACUUCUUCUGAUUGUGUAUACUAAGCUGUUAAGCAGAAUAGCCUUGGCUAUAGAAAGUAGCAUAGAUUUAUAUCUUCUACAUAUCUGAGAAUACCAAGGACUAGAAAAAGGUCCUGAGAAAUGUUUAAAAUACUUUUGUAAAGGAGAUUCAAGGAAACUGGCUUAGACCUACAGAGCAUAAUAGAGAGGGCAUAAUUUAUAAAAGGAAUCUAGUCUAUAUAGAACAAAUAAACUUAAAAAUUAAGACUGAAGGACAUUUUACUGCUCAAGUUCCAGAAAAAUAACAGGAAAAGAUGUGGUUAUUUAAACACUGAUAAAUGAACACAGAAAUACUAUUAGACUCUAGUCAUAUUUCAGUGUAUAAACAAACCCAGUCCUUCCUUCACAGUAACAUAACAUCAUUCUAAGGCUAAACAUAGUUGAAGGUAAGGAAAAUACUUCAUCUGAUUAUAUUAUAGUAAUCUCCCACAUUUUAGGGAUACAUUUAAGCAAAAGAAUCUAAGUGUGAGCAAGGAAAAAAAAAUGGAAAUCAUCCUACUCACAAUGUAAAAGAGACUCUGAGUUGUUAUGGAAAAGAUUAUCAUCCAUUCCUGGAAAGCAAACUUCCCGAGGAGUUCUGAAGCCCACUCACCUGCUCAGACACAAGCUAGGGGGAGGGUCUGGCUUUGGCACAUUCUGUUUUCUGUUCAAGAAAAUUUAAAUAUUUGAAUGCAGCACAUGAUAUAGCUUCCAAAAUAUCAGCCUCUGCCCAACACAGUUCUGUGUAGCUUCAGGUGUCAUUUAAGUAUGCAGAUACUCCCAGGAGCCUUGUAUGUUUCUUUACAUAUGACGUAAUUACAAAGAGGACAACAUUUUUCACCUAGAUGGUUUCUGGUGCAAAUGAUUUGCAAAGGCAUUCUUGAUUUUUGUGAAGGCAUUUGCAAACAUUCUUCCUGAUACUUGACUUCUAUUGAAGAGCCAAGUAAGGGAACGAGUAACACUUCCUAUUCUAAUAACAGAAGAAAACUCUUUCAGGAUGUGCCCUUUCCACAUUCUCAGGUUUGAAGUGCACCUCUGGUAUUGCUGAGAACCUCCAGACCUCUUGGCAUUAUGAACUUCUACAGAAACUGUUCUACCCAGAUUGCGCAAACAUGAUAGCACCAGUGUUUGGAUCCCAACAUGCCAAAAACUUUACCUUGCUUCGUGUUUCCACCUAAAGGUGGAAAGUUUUCCUUCUUGCCCAGGCUGAUUUCUGGGGUAUUAGCUAAACACUGCCAAGUUUAUGGACAAACUGAGGUUUUCACAUCUGACAGCAUCAGAUCUGUGCUGCCAGGUGAUCCAGUAGAAUAGCUGCUAUAUUCAUUACCAUGAUUAACAUUGCUUUUACAGGUGAUGCAGUCACUGGGUCUGGAUCAAGUAAAUCUCUCAUUUGUUUUGUUCCCACCAAGUUGAAACAGACUGGGUAGCAUAACUGUUUUUGAAAGAAUGCUUCAUUUCUUAAGAGAACUGCUUUAUUUCAUUCUGUAAAAUGUUGUUAAAAUGACUUUUCCACUGCAACUAUUAAGAAAAAGCAUUUCAUAUUUAUCAUUGCCAUGUCUUAACUAAGUUUCAAAUUGAUGUAUCUAUAGUGUUUUUAGAAAGAAGUUUUCAGAGUGAUUAUUAUUCUGCUUGUGCACUAUCCUAUGAAGACCAGGGACAGAAUCUGUGGUGUGGUAAAGUACCCGUCAGGAGAUUAGUCCCUGGCUUGAAGGCAACCCUAGGCUAAAGCAAACAGCUGAUAUGCUGGACAAAUGGUAGUUCUCAGAUGAAUUCAUCCCCUUAAAACUGCAAUAUGAAAGAGCUCAUUUCUCCAGCCAGGAGGACAAGAUGUGUAAUAUUUUCUGUGUUAUGAAAACAUAGCAUCUACUAAAAGUUUGUAAAAAUUGAAGUACUCAUUUUUUAUCUUCUCUGUAGUCCCCUGAGAGAUCUAAAAGCAAUAAAUGAAAAGACUGUCAGUACCUCAAGAGGAUAAUGAGAAGUUUUAUUACCCAGGAAAGAAAAGUUUAUAUUGAAGCUCAGUGGUUACCAAUUCCAUGCAUGAGAAGAUAGAGCCUAUCUUAAAAAAUGACCAAUUUUCUUUUUUCUGAUGGUGGGAAAUAUUCCUCAGAUGCUACAAUAAAUAGGCACAAAGAGAGCCAUUGGAAAACACUUAUAAAGUGCUUGUGGUCUAUUUUUCUGUCCUCACUCCACUUGUUGUGGUUGGUUCAAUAAAAGAUGCCUUGAGGUAUACCACCCUCCAAAGUUCAGACAACAACUACUGCUGCAGUUGGUGCAUGCAGCACCUCUGUAGCUACUAGCACUGCAGCAUCAGGUAGCCAGCUUCCAGAUGGAACAUUACCUCCCUGCUGGUGUAACAGGAAAAGCCCGAGGACUCAGUUUCUGAACCACAUAGAUGCAAAUGUGGUAUCCGAUAAAGCAAACAAAAAUGGGCAUUUAUGUUUUUAUUUAUGCUUAGAUUGUUAGCAUUCAGUUAAGACUUGGAAAUGACUUUAUAUUUAGGUGGUUGUCAAAUGUAUUUAUUUAAACUUAUGUAUUGAGGAAAAAAGAGGAAUAAAGGUAGCCAAGCACAACAUUUUGGCCUCAUGUACAACAGCUGACAGCACUGAUCUUGGUCACACACAGGCCUGGUCCCUACUGCCAUCAGUACUGCUGUGAGUUGAAUCCAAUGCUCCUGUAUGCUCAGUCUGCUUUCUGAGUCACAUCCUGGCUCUGUAGCUCACACUACAGAGGUGAUAUCUGCCUUGUCUAUAAGCAACAAGCAGCAGCUCACUUGCUGUGUGUUCCUGGGUGCACUGGUUGUGGUGAGCGGAUUAAUGCUGCCUAGGACUUGGACUCACCAAACCAACAGGACAUGGAUGCUGCUGGGGUUCUGUGGUAUCUAAACCCAGGAUCAGAUUAGCUGUCUUGGCACCACAUAUCUCCCUUCUCCACAGUGAAAGUGAAGCUACAGCAGUCCUCCAUCCCUGUGCCAUGGCCUGGCAUGCACCAUGGGCUCUGCUUUCUCUCCUUAGCUUCUUGGCUGCACUUCCUGGUGGUUUUGAUUCAUAUUGGUGUUAAGAAGGCUUAGUAUUAUCUGGCUUCUACAUGUGGAUCAGAUAAAUUCACUGCAGCCCAGCUACACAAAAUGCCACUUGAGAGGCAGUUUCUUACAAUCGUGAGAUGUUUGGUACAAUUUAUGUCUUGGGAAGAGUCAGGAUACUAUCUGACAAAAGAAUCCAACCAUCUGGAAUCACUUGCACGACGGCUCUUCGUUUCUAAAUCCCUAAGCAUUAAAUCUUAAAGUAUGUGCACACCCAAAAAUCCCAUUAAUGUUGACCAGAGAAAUGGCUGCAAACAAUCUUGAAAUGAGAAUUUCUUCAUGUUAAAGGCAAAUUAAAUUCCAAGUUUAAAGUAGCAAUUGAGCUUUUUAAUUGCUUCUUUCAGCUUUGGCUUUGUAAGAAGUAGAAAAUAAUUGCACAAGCAAUGGUUAAUUUAGAAAAGUCUAUUCUGAGGGGAGGUUUUGUAAGAUGUCAGAAAUAGCAGACCAUCAAUUUUACAUUGCAGCAGAAGAAUUCCAUAUUAACAAAAAAGGUCUGGCUUCAAGCAGAACUGCUGAAAUAGAAAUUGAAGAUGAUGCUACAAAUUGGUUUAUAUCAGUUUGGCUAUCUUGUAAGUAGAGCGGGAAAUAACUUAAAAUUUCUGAGUUGGUUGUAUUAUGAAAAAUCCACCUCAUUUUGUAUUAGCACACACACCUUUAUGCAUUAAAAGGCUGCCUAUAAUUUGCUAUGGCAAGUCUCUGCAGUAAAGUAAAAGACAUUUCUGUGCAAACUUAAAAAUCCAGAUUAAUCUGUUUUCCUUUCACAUAUUAAAAUGGAGCAAAAGUCUCUUAAUUUAGAUGGGUUUUUAGUACCUUUUCUGUUUUAUGGAAAUCGUUAUGUUCCUGAGGGAAAAAAAAAACCAACUUUUCUCAUGCUGAAUUUGUUAAAAUAAGCAUUCAACGAUGAAAACACUCAAAUGGAAAUACUCUCUAAAGUAAAAAAAUGUAUGCAGGUGUGAUGCAGAACAUACGAGGCCCAUCUGUUGGGAAAGCUUGCAAUAAUUAUUAUCUGUUUGCUGUAAGGGCAGUGUUACUUUAAACAACGUGGUUGUUUUUUUUGGCAUAAUGGUGAAUCCAAGGUCAUGUGUACAAGCUUUGUUUUAGAAACAUGAGAAGCAGAAGCUUGUACUGUAAAGAACAGCACAUUGACUUGGAGGACAACAGAACUAGUAAGAGCAAAACAUGCUGGAGGACUCAGAGCUUGAGCAUCUCUUACCCACUAGCAAGCAACGUGGUGCAGAAGAACCUGCACUGAGAAGAAAUCAGAAUGAAUAUUGGAUUAUUUGAAAAUUAUACAGAUUAGUCCAUCUUUAAAGGAAAUUCAGAGGGCCAUGGCCAAACAGCCUGACUACACAGACCAACAGUAGACAGCAUCCAGCAUAAAUAAAAGCAAAGUAGUACACGGAAGGUAGACAAGAAGCAUGUCUCUACUCAGGGCACCACCACUGCCUGGCUUCUGGGACCUUCUGCUCAAAAAACCCCAACUUAUCAACAGAUGAGGUUCUGGGACAAAGACUGGAUUAGAAACCACAACAGGAAAUAUAAUGAAGAACUAGUUACAUGGCACACUUUUACAAUUUGACCUGCAUCUUCAUAAUUCUGAGCUGCAUCUUAAUAUUGACUGUCUUCAGCACAAUAUGGAGCAAUGUCUGACAGACUUUGCUAUUUCCUUACUACUUGGAAGCCUUUUUCAAACAAAGAGUAGGCAUAUUUCCUGUCAUUUACUAUUGACUGUAUUGUCUCCAGCUUCCUGAUGUUCUGUAGCCACAACUUCUGAUGUUCACACAGAAAUAUGUAAAAUUGAACUUUUCUAGACAUCAGUGAAAAUCCUGCUUCUGCCACUAGCUCCCAAAGCAAGACAGGCUCAGCCAGUUGCCCCCCAGCUGUGACAAAGCACCAGCUAGCAUGCCAUAUUGUCCACACCAACCCUCCCGUCACAGUUCUCCAUCCCUGUUCCCAGUAACACUAGCAAAUGUUCCAGCACAACUCUGAGCUCAGGUACACUGAAGUCUAUUAAGUUUCCUAAACAGCUCUAAGCCUUCAUGCUGAAACCUGAAAUCACUCGCCUUCUUUUAACAAUGGCAUUUCUCACACAAAGAAGAAAAAAAAAACAAAAGAAAAAAACACAUCAGCAGAAUAGGCCCUUUCCCUCUUGUUCAUUAAGUAAUUAAUAAGACCACUGGAAACUCUCUGUGGAAUUUCACAAGGAUUAAAAUAGCAACAGAGAAGUUCAUUGCAUUGGCAAUAGUUUUGAGUAGAACAAACUAACAGGUGAACCUGUCAAGAGCUAACAUCUCUUUGCUUUCAAGUUCUUGCUUGACCAGGCCCACCAUUUAUAAUACUGUUUAAAAAAACCUCACUAUGUUAAAGAGGCACACGUGCUCAAGGCAACAUCCGGAUCUCAAGAAAGUAAAUUCUGCAUUCUGAAGAGGCAUAUUACUUCCCUGAGUUUGCAUUUUUAAGCCUCUGAGCCAACAAUCUCACCCAGAUGUGUUUUUGCCAGAAAGCUUUCUCCUCCUACUUCAGCCAAACCAUCCCACAUCCACGCCACUAUGUGCUGGCGCACAGGGUGUGUUGCCAUAAACUGCAAGGCAACACAAACCAUAGCACUAAGCACGUUUAUCUUGUCUGGGCCUCCACCACUGUGAGAUACGAAUCAAGCUAUCAGCAACGUUUCCUGGAGUAAGCUCAGUAGCAUUCACUGCUCUAUCCUUACACUGGUGAUGAGAUGUCUCUACCAGCCCUCCUCACCUUACUGUUAGUUGGAUCCAAUGAGUCUCCCAGCACCUUCACAGAACAAUGUCUCAAGGCUGAAGCUGCAGAAAUAUCAGAGAGAGGGGAAAA